UACGUAGGGGGCAAGCGUUGUCCGGAAUUAUUGGGCGUAAAGAGCGUGUAGGCGGUCCGGUAAGUCGGUUGUGAAAGUCCAGGCUCAACCCUGGGAUGCCGAUCGAUACUGCCGGACUAGAGUCCGGAAGAGGCGAGUGGAAUUCCCGGUGUAGCGGUGAAAUGCGCAGAUAGUCGGGAAGGAACACCAAUGGCGAAGGCAGCUCGCU
rnacentral:rRNA from 1 species